rnacentral:rRNA from 1 species
AAUCCAUAGGUUAAUGAGGCGAACCGGGGGAACUGAAACAUCUAAGUACCCCGAGGAAAAGAAAUCAACCGAGAUUCCCCCAGUAGCGGCGAGCGAACGGGGAGGAGCCCAGAGCCUGAAUCAGCAUGUGUGUUAGUGGAAGCGUCUGGAAAGGCGCGCGAUACAGGGUGACAGCCCCGUACACAAAAGCGCAUGUGCUGUGAGCUCGAUGAGUAGGGCGGGACACGUGGUAUCCUGUCUGAAUAUGGGGGGACCAUCCUCCAAGGCUAAAUACUCCUGACUGACCGAUAGUGAACCAGUACCGUGAGGGAAAGGCGAAAAGAACCCCGGCGAGGGGAGUGAAAAAGAACCUGAAACCGUGUACGUACAAGCAGUGGGAGCACCCUUUGGGUGUGACUGCGUACCUUUUGUAUAAUGGGUCAGCGACUUAUAUUCUGUAGCAAGGUUAACCGAAUAGGGGAGCCGGAGGGAAACCGAGUCUUAACCGGGCGUUAAGUUGCAGGGUAUAGACCCGAAACCCGGUGAUCUAGCCAUGGGCAGGUUGAAGGUUGGGUAACACUAACUGGAGGACCGAACCGACUAAUGUUGAAAAAUUAGCGGAUGACCUGUGGCUGGGGGUGAAAGGCCAAUCAAACCGGGAGAUAGCUGGUUCUCCCCGAAAGCUAUUUAGGUAGCGCCUCGUGAAUUCAUCUCCGGGGGUAGAGCACUGUUUCGGCUAGGGGGCCAUCCCGGCUUACCAACCCGAUGCAAACUGCGAAUACCGGAGAAUGUUAUCACGGGAGACACACGGCGGGUGCUAACGUCCGUCGUGAAGAGGGAAACAACCCAGACCGCCAGCUAAGGUCCCAAAGUCAUGGUUAAGUGGGAAACGAUGUGGGAAGGCCCAGACAGCCAGGAUGUUGGCUUAGAAGCAGCCAUCAUUUAAAGAAAGCGUAAUAGCUCACUGGUCGAGUCGGCCUGCGCGGAAGAUGUAACGGGGCUAAACCAUGCACCGAAGCUGCGGCAGCGACACUGUGUGUUGUUGGGUAGGGGAGCGUUCUGUAAGCCUGUGAAGGUGUGUCGUGAGGCAUGCUGGAGGUAUCAGAAGUGCGAAUGCUGACAUAAGUAAC